AGUGUAGAGGUGAAAUUCGUAGAUAUUUGGAGGAACACCAGUGGCGAAGGCGGCUCACUGGCUCGAUACUGACGCUGAGGUACGAAAGUGUGGGGAGCAAACAGGAUUAGAUACCCUGGUAGUCCACACCGUAAACGAUGAAUGCCAGACGUCAGCAAGCAUGCUUGUUGGUGUCACACCUAACGGAUUAAGCAUUCCGCCUGGGGAGUACGGUCGCAAGAUUAAAACUCAAAGGAAUUGACGGGGGCCCGCACAAGCGGUGGAGCAUGUGGUUUAAUUCGACGCAACGCGCAGAACCUUACCAACCCUUGACAUACUUGUCGCGGAUUCCAGAGAUGGAUUCCUUCAGUUCGGCUGGACAAUGUACAGGUGCUGCAUGGCUGUCGUCAGCUCGUGUCGUGAGAUGUUCGGUUAAGUCCGGCAACGAGCGCAACCCACGUCCUUAGUUACCAGCAUUUAGUUGGGUACCCUAAGGAGACUGCCGGUGAUAAGCCGGAGGAAGGUGUGGACGACGUCAAGUCAUCAUGGCCCUUACGGGUUGGGCUACACACGUGCUACAAUGGCAUCUACAGUGAGUUAAUCUCCAAAAGAUGUCUCAGUUCGGAUUGGGGUCUGCAACUCGACCCCAUGAAGUUGGAAUCGCUAGUAAUCGCGGAACAGCAUGCCGCGGUGAAUACGUUCCCGGGCCUUGUACACACCGCCCGUCACACCAUGGGAAUUGGGUCUACCCGAAGGUGGUGCGCCAACUAUUUAUAGAGGCAGCCAACCACGGUAGGUUCAGUGACUGGGGUGAAGUCGUAACAAGGUAACC
rnacentral:rRNA from 1 species